ACUGUUUUUAAAAAUGAAGACUAUUUUGGAAUUUUUAAAAAUAUAUUCACGUACCGAUUCAAGGACGUUUGGGAGCCACAAGAUUUAAUAACAAAAUUUAAUAAGAUGAAAUCUAUAUCUUCUGUAUACCCUGAUCCAAUAAAUAAGUUUAUUAAUGAGUAUAGUUCUGACAAUGCAACAGAAUACUUAAGAUCAGCAUCAUUAUUUUGUGCACAAUACAGCGUAUAUCCUACUUUUGAAGAACCAGUUUUCUGUUAAAAAAUAAAAAAUAGUAAUACAAAAAAGUGAUUCAUAGCACCUUGUACCUUAUAUAUACGCAAGUAAACUAUCAAUUGCUACAAUAAUAUUAUGUAUUUAUUAGUCCAUAAUUAAAAAAACUAAAUUAAAUCAACUGUUAUUUUAUUUUAUUUUUUAGAUAAACAUACAGCUU